AGCCACCCGAAGGAGAUAGCACAACUCUACCGGGAGAUCAGGCUCUUCCCUUCGCUGAGUAGAGCCGACGUGGGACCUGUCGUCAUCAACGAGUAUGAAGGCACAUACAGUCACAUCACCACAGGUGCGUGUGUGUGCCACAACCAACACGAUAUGUCACAAUCACCCCCAAAGUUACUACUUUGUGACGCUGCAGAUCUGGAGUAAAAACAUCAAGAUGAAGAGCAUCAAUAUAACAGCCCUAAAAAAGCACGGCAAAGUCUAUGAAGAUGAGAAAUUUGGCUGCUUGUUUUGGUCCCACUCUGAGACCCAACUGCUGUAGAGGUGCUGUAGAACCACUGGCAGAUCUUGACCUUCACACCUCCCCCAGAUCAGGACAACAGUCAAUACUAGCUACACACGUGUGGUGUUUUAUCAUUGUUACCUCUGACAUUCUGGCCUGGCAGCUUUAAGCAAGUGCAUGGUCACGGGCGGGUUCAAUUACAGCCCAGAGCGUCUACCUGACUCUACUGUUUUGAAAAAGAUGUUAGAAAUGUCCCCCAUUAUACACGUGACACAGGUACAGACCCCGGUCCUGCUUCUCCUGGGGGAGCAGGACAAGCGUGUACCGAGCACGCAGGGAAUCGAAUACUACAGGGCACUGAAAGCAAAGCAGAUUCCAGUCCGGCUGCUGUGUUACCAAGGGAGCAGCCACUCUUUCUCCAC